AUGGGGAAAGCCUCAAUCGGCGCAGCUGUGUUUCGUGCUCCCGGAGACGACAUCUGUCAUUUCCAGGUGGUCUUGGUAGGCAACAGCGACAUUCAAAGCACACAAGCGGUCGCCUCUGUUUACUCGUCGGUGACCGGCCUAUGGGGGAAUCUCGUCUCAACAGCGCUGCCGUCCAAGGAUUCUGGUUUUCCCACCAUGAUUUACAUGGGCAUGCCUGCUGUGAUGGUUGGUGCUUCCUUUUAUUGGUUGCUUAUUAAUGGGGAUUCACAAGGAAUCCUUGAAUUUGAUUUGGAUAGGCGGAGCCUAUCUUGCAUACCCAUGCCAGUGGAAGACACUGAUGGUAUGGGCCAUGGCAAUAUUUGGGUUAUGCCGGCAGAGGGUGGCGGCCUUGGUUUCCUCUUCCUGAAAUGCUUUUGCGCCCAAUUAUGGAAGAUGAAGACCGAUUGCAAGGGUGUUUCUUCAUGGGUGCUGGGAAUAAGUAUUGAUCUUGACAAGUUACUUUCCUUGAAUUCAGAGAUGGACCCAUGGAUAGUAGGGUUUGCCGAGGACAAUAAUGUGGUGUUACUGUGGACAUCUGUCGGUGUCUUCACUGUCCAGUUUGAAUCAUUGCAGUUCAAGAAACUUUUUGAAUCUACAUAUGGCUGGUAUCACUAUUAUCCAUUCGAAGGUGUCUAUACUGCAGACACAGGCAUUGGUGGUGGAAACGAUGAAGCUAAACUUUUGCUCAAUACAUGA
rnacentral:rRNA from 1 species